rnacentral:rRNA from 1 species
ACUAUUUACCAAAAACACAGGUCUCCGCAAAGUCAUAAGACCAUGUAUGAGGGUUGACGCCUGCCCAGUGCCGAAAGGUCAAGGAAGUUGGUGACCUGAUGACAGGGGAGUCGGUGACUGAAGCCCCGGUGAACGACAGCCGUAACUACAACAGUCUUAAGGUAGCGAAAUUCCUUGUCGGGAAUCAGGCCCAGUUUUGGACCAAGGCCUAC